rnacentral:rRNA from 1 species
UACGGGGGGGGCAAGCGUUGUUCGGAAUUACUGGGCGUAAAGGGCGCGUAGGCGGUUCGAUAAGUCCCGUGUGAAAGCCCCCGGCUCAACUGGGGAAUUGCACGGGAAACUGACGGACUUGAGUUCGGGAGAGGGAAGCGGAAUUCCGGGUGUAGCGGUGAAAUGCGUAGAUAUCCGGAGGAACACCGGUGGCGAAGGCGGCUUCCUGGACCGACACUGACGCUGAGGCGCGAAAGCUAGGGGAGCAAACGGG